rnacentral:rRNA from 1 species
GAGUUUGAUCAUGGCUCAGAUUGAACGCUGGCGGCAUGCCUUACACAUGCAAGUCGAGCGGCAGCGCGGGGGCAACCCUGGCGGCGAGCGGCGAACGGGUGAGUAAUACAUCGGAACGUGUCCUGUCGUGGGGAUAACCAGUCGAAAGAUUGGCUAAUACCGCAUGACCUCGUAAGAGAAAAGCGGGGGGACCGUAAGGCCUCGGCGCGACUGGAGCGGACCGAUGUCGGAUUAGCUAGUUGGCGGGGUAAAAGCCCACCAAGGCGACGAUCCGUAGCUGGUUUGAGAGAACGACCAGCCACACUGGGACUGAGACACGGCCCAGACUCCUACGGGAGGCAGCAGUGGGGAAUUUUGGACAAUGGGGGCAACCCUGAUCCAGCCAUGCGCGUGUGUGAAGAAGGCCUCGGUUGUAAG